rnacentral:rRNA from 1 species
UACGUAGGUCCUGAGCGUUAUCCGGAUUUAUUGGGUUUAAAGGGUGCGUAGGCGGGCUUUUAAGUCAGCGGUAAAAAUUCGGGGCUCAACCCCGUCCGGCCGUUGAAACUGGGGGUCUUGAGUGGGCGAGAAGAAGGCGGAAUGCGUGGUGUAGCGGUGAAAUGCAUAGAUAUCACGCAGAACCCCGAUUGCGAAGGCAGCCUUCCGGCGCCCUACUGACGCUGAGGCACGAAAGUGCGGGGAUCGAACAGG